UACGUAGGGGGCAAGCGUUGUCCGGAAUUAUUGGGCGUAAAGAGCGUGUAGGCGGCCAGAUAAGUCCGUUGUGAAAACUCGAGGCUCAACCUCGAGAUGUCGGCGGAAACCGUCUGGCUAGAGUCCGGAAGAGGAGAGUGGAAUUCCUGGUGUAGCGGUGAAAUGCGCAGAUAUCAGGAAGAACACCUAUGGCGAAGGCAGCUCUCUGGGACGGUACUGACGCUGAGACGCGAAAGCGUGGGGAGCGAACAGG
rnacentral:rRNA from 1 species